GACGAACCGUUCGAACGUUAUUCGGAAUCACUGGGCUUAAAGCGCGUGUAGGCGGAUCGCCGCGUCGGCUGCUGAAAUCCCCCGGCCCAACCGGGGAACGGGCACCGAUACGGGCGGACUCGAGGGGGGUAGGGGGGUCUGGAACUUCCGGUGGAGCGGUGAAAUGCGUUGAGAUCGGAAGGAACGCCCGUGGCGAAAGCGAGGCCCUGGACCCUUACUGACGCUGAGACGCGAAAGCCAGGGGAGCGAACGGU
rnacentral:rRNA from 1 species